rnacentral:rRNA from 1 species
UACGAAGGGGGCUAGCGUUGCUCGGAAUCACUGGGCGUAAAGCGCACGUAGGCGGCUUCUUAAGUCAGGGGUGAAAUCCUGGAGCUCAACUCCAGAACUGCCUUUGAUACUGAGGAGCUUGAGUCCGGGAGAGGUGAGUGGAACUGCGAGUGUAGAGGUGAAAUUCGUAGAUAUUCGCAAGAACACCAGUGGCGAAGGCGGCUCACUGGCCCGAUACUGACGCUGAGGCACGAAAGCGUGGGGAGCAAACA